rnacentral:lncRNA from 1 species
UGUUGGACAAUGCAAUCUACCAUAAGCCUUGAGCUUCCACAGGUUCUCGCUAAGUAUACCAAGACCUCAAAGCCCUGUUCACCUUUUACCUGGGUCAUUUUUCAGGAUUUUAUUUGCACUGAGCAAGCUUGAGGAAUGAGUAACAUCUCCUCCAGGACAAAAAUCAGUCAAGUUCAAUACUCCUCUCCUACAGUGAAUCUACAGGUAUCAAACAAACGAUGGUCCUUUGUGUUUUCCCCAUAGGACUUGGGAGAAUACAAGUAUACAGGAAGGGGUUAACUCAGCUGGCCAGGGUUGCUCAAACUCUGCACGUUCCCAAGAUAUGCUUGUCUUGCAGACUGGUUCUUGGUCAGCUCCUGGGAGAUGAGCUCUGAACUAACAAUUCUUUCUGAUAAGAGCAUUUUUGUAUGCAUAAGGCCUUGGACCUUCUGAUACCACUUUGAUCAGCUAGUUUUAUCUAAGUGAUUUAUGGUGAGUACUCAUCUGUGCUCUGGGAGACUGGAGUCUGAAUAGCUGAGGUCAAUCAUACAGGUGAUUUAUAUCUAUGUGACUGACCCCCCCAUUAAAAACCAUAGACCCCAAGGAUCAGGUGAGCAUCCUAGUUGGCAACAUUUUGCACAAGUUGUCACACAUUGUGCUGGGAGAAAUAAGUACAUCCUGAGAAAGGCCUGUCUUUGGGACUGGCUCUUGGACAGCUCCUGGAAGAUGACCUCUGAGCCUUUUGCGAACGUAGUACCGAUUUGAUCAGACAGUUUAUGUUAACAAUGUGAUUUAUGGUGAACAUUUCUUUCUCUGGGAGGCUAGAGAUGGAGUAGCUGAGUUCAGUCCUGUAAGUGAUUUACGCCUAUGUGAUUGACCCUGUGUAAAAACCU